CAGCUUGUUGGUGAGGUAACGGCUCACCAAGGCGACGACGGGUAGCUGGUCUGAGAGGACGACCAGCCACACUGGAACUGAGAUACGGUCCAGACUCCUACGGGAGGCAGCAGUGGGGAAUCUUGCGCAAUGGGCGAAAGCCUGACGCAGCGACGCCGCGUGGGGGAUGAAUGCCUUCGGGUUGUAAACCCCUUUCGGCAGGGACGAAGCGAACGUGACGGUACCUGCAGAAGAAGUCCCGGCUAACUACGUGCCAGCAGCCGCGGUAAGACGUAGGGGACGAGCGUUGUCCGGAUUUAUUGGGCGUAAAGAGCGCGUAGGCGGCUUGGUAAGUCGGAUGUGAAAUCCCGGGGCUCAACCCCGUGACUGCACCCGAAACUGCCCGGCUAGAGGUAGGUAGGGGAGAUCGGAAUUCCUGGUGUAGCGGUGAAAUGCGCAGAUAUCAGGAGGAACACCGGUGGCGAAGGCGGAUCUCUGGGCCUUACCUGACGCUCAGGCGCGAAAGCUAGGGGAGCAAACAGGAUUA
rnacentral:rRNA from 1 species